UCCAAACAGCCACCACUCUGCACUCGCAGCUGUGCCCGUGUGCACGUCUCAAGUGUGUGCACAUGCGCUCUAGUCAAGCAGGGCGGCAGGGGGUUGGUAACAAGAGGACAUGUAAUUCUGCUUUAAGAUUAAUCAUGAUAAUGGUGAUGGCAGUGAAAACAGCUUACAUUACAGAGAAUCUUGCCAGGGCCAGGAACUGUAGGAAGUACAUUUAUGCAUUAUCUCAUUUAAUCCUCCCAGAGACCUCACGAGGCAGGCACAGUUAGUACCAUUCUCAUUUUACAGAUGAGGAAAUAGGAGCUGAGGGUAGUUAAGUGUCGUGACCUUGGACAGCAGUAAGUGGAGAUGCUGAGGUUAAACGAGAAUAAUACAAUGAACAGCCGUGUCCCAGGACUGAAGAGGGGAACUCAGCUGAGGCACAGAGACAAUACCGCAUUCCAAAGGGAGGCACGCUGUCACAAUGCAGAAUUGCCAAAGGCCGAGAAUAGUAACAGGGACAGGAUAUUGGAGAGAACUCUGUGUGCCAGUGAAGGGGCCACUUUCCCUCCAGCUGAAGUCAAGAGAGAGGCACAAGGACAUCUGGAUCUUAGGGGAUGUGACAGUGACCCUCCUGAGUCAACGGGGACUCUCGUGAAAAAUCUGAAGGAAGAGAUCCAUGGUGGUGAGUGUGGAGGCCUCUAGAGAACCCAGCAAAGCAGCCACAAGAGACAGUCCAUCCUGAAAGCCUGCUGGUCCAGAGAGCAGCAAUCACCGUGACCACGCCAGUCCCAGAAGGGCCCUGCCGUUCCCUUUGCCUCGUGCUCUUGCUACCUGAACUCCAACACUGGGCAGGUUGGAUGCAGGGUGAGGGAUGGGACAAAUGAAGUAGAGGCCCCACCGCGGGCUUCUCCUCUGGAACAGGCCAGAGCUGCAGGAAGAGAAGAGGGAUUAACUUUAAACAGACUGACAUGGUGACUAUGACAUGGGAUGGACACUUGAAUGACAGAGGACUUUUAUUUACUGAAAUUUGCUGUAUGAGUUAUAGAACUUGCCCAAACUUUCAAGCAAGGGCAGCAGAGGAACCUGUCCCACAGGAUAAAUUUAAAAGGAUCGUGGGAAGCAAAAAUAAAGUCACCUUAUAAUUUGUUCAAUG